rnacentral:misc_RNA from 1 species
UGGUCCGCUUCGGGCCCGGCUCCAAGGGUAUGAUGGCGGCCGAGAUUCAGCCUGAGACCGGUGCGCCCGGACUGUCGUCGCACUGACGUGACGUCAACCACAUCCGCGUGAUCAUGAACGAAGGCCAGANNNNNNNNNNUGCCACGAUUGACGGGCUAGGGUGCCGCUGUCGAACGUCAGGGCGUUGCUUGAGAUGAAUUCGGGU